rnacentral:lncRNA from 1 species
GGAUUUUUGUUUUGUUUUGUUUUGUUUAUAAUGACCAGCUUCUUUUAUUAAUAAAUGUCUAUGAGAAGUUGAGUCCCAGAAGUCAUGAACCUUGAGAGCUCUAUGGAACAAGGCAUACUUUUAUUCCCUAGAUGUGUAAAAAGGGAAGUGCUUUCCUGCCCAUCCUGAAGAACUAUGAACCUGGAGGGGAAUGCACCACUGAAAUGGUGUGAGUAGGAAUGAUUUUCCACAGAGGAUGCCUUACAGCUGUAAAACCUUAGGUCUCACAUUUGAAUUCCACUCAGACUGGUUCCUAGGUCAGAAGGCAGAAUUCCCAGCCAAAGGCUGUUUACUGACCCCUUUGAAGUGAGUGUAUGCCAUAAAUUUAUUCCCUCAUGUCUGGGCACCAAUAGCAGUAACUAGAGGCCUUGAGGCCAAGAGAAGACAAGAGGUCCCCUGGUACAGUUACAUUCACU